rnacentral:rRNA from 1 species
AGGGGUAACAUUGGUGCUUGCACCAGAUGACGACCGGCGCACGGGUGCGGAACGCGUAUGGAACCUACCUUUGUCAGGGGAAUAGCCCAGAGAAAUUUGGAUUAAUGCCCCAUGGUAAUAUGGAAUCGCAUGAUUUUAUAUUUAAAGAUUUAUCGGACGAAGAUGGCCAUGCGUACCCAUUAGUUAGUUGGUGGGGUAACGGCUCACCAAGACAACGAUGGUUAGGGGCCCUGAGAGGGGGAUCCCCCACACUGGUACUGAGACACGGACCAGACUCCUACGGGAGGCAGCAGUGAGGAAUAUUGGACAAUGGAGGAGACUCUGAUCCAGCCAUGCCGCGUGCAGGAUGACGGCCCUAUGGGUUGUAAACUGCUUUUAUACGGGAAGAAAAAAGGGUACGUGUACCCUACUGACGGUACCGUAAGAAUAAGGACCGGCUAACUCCGUGCCAGCAGCCGCGGUAAUACGGAGGGUCCGAGCGUUAUCCGGAAUCAUUGGGUUUAAAGGGUCCGUAGGCGGGCCUAUAAGUCAGGGGUGAAAGUUUGUGGCUCAACCAUAAAAUUGCCCUUGAUACUGUAGGUCUUGAGUUAUAGUGAAGUUGCCGGAACAUGUGGUGUAGCGGUGAAAUGCAUAGAUAUCACAUAGAACACCAAUUGCGAAGGCAGGUGACUAACUAUAUACUGACGCUGAUGGACGAAAGCGUGGGGAGCGAACAGGAUUAGAUACCCUGGUAGUCCACGCCGUANCGAUGGAUAC